AGAAUUAAAUAUAUAAUAUAUAAAUUAAUUGCCAAUUUUUGAUAAUCCACUUGCAGAAUUAUUGCAUUGUUACAAACCAACGUUUUUCUCGUAAAUGCCAAAUAUAGAGAAAAAAUGAAAGGGGAAAUUGCUUUGCGUUAUUUUAUGAUCAAUACAAUAAAAUAUAUCAAUUUUCUAUAUCUACAAUAUUUUUCGAAAAAGAAAAAAUGAUCAUAAUUCUUUACAUAAAAUGCUACAUAUCGUUUAAUUUACAUAACAUAAAAGCUAUUAUGUAUGUACCAAGAUAAGAUCAACCAUAUUGAAUGAAACUUUAGAACUGUCCUCUCCGAUUUCGAUGAUUUUUGAAUAUGUUGUGACAGAUAUGAUUUUGAAGAACUUUUUAUUCUACGUGUAACUGUCGGCCAUAGUUCCCGAGGUAUUUCUAAAAAGAUGACGGUACCACUAUAGUGAAUUCUGUUUAAUUAUUUUUGAAUAAUUGUACAAUCAUGACAGCGUGUGUGUUAGUAUUAGUUGAUACAAUGACCUAUGGAGAUAUAUAAAUAGAGUGAAUGAACGAGCUGAAAAAUACAUGAAUGGAAAGAGAACGUUGCAAACAGGCACCUUGUCUCCUAAUCUAAUAACACAUGCAUAUUCAUACAGUAAAUAAAAAUGUAACAUCAAUGAACGGCAUCAGUGUAGAUGUUUGAUCAGACAAGGACAGAAGGAACUUCGAUGUAGCAUUCCCUUUCGAUUUCUAUAUUGCAUUCGCUUACGCCGUACAUGUACUCGCGUAUUCUAUUUUUAUAUUUCUAUGGACCUAACCCAAACCUAACUCUUAUCUUUUGUUUAUAGCAUAUAUAAAAGGCGGAUAGGCGACCUUGAAUAUUCUACCGAUCCUUCGGAUAAGAAAUCCGUUCCAUUAAUUAUUUAUAGCGGCAAAGGAUUAAAGGAAACAAUUUUGUCUACUCGAAAAUUUCAUGGGAUGAUUUUCGAUACACUGUUACAGAUUUUAGUGAAUAGGCGGGAUUAAUAUUUAGUCUAUGAUUUUUCUUAUAAAACGUCGUGCAGAAUGGCCUACGUUGCGCGAUGCGGGCUAUACACAGGCUGGGCCUGAGGGUGUUCCAGCCAAGUCGGAGGUCGUAUGGUUUUACGACUAGCGACGUAGGGGCGCUCCACCGCCCGGCCUGUGUUUAGACAUAAACGGGGAGGAUGUACGAGGUACGUGUCGAUCGGUCCCAGUUGGAAGGCUUGGGGGUAAUGCUCGUAAAGGAGCAGACAAAGCGGGAGAGGGUGAGAAUAUCCCACCCUUGUAGAGUUCCGCGCCGAAGGGCGGCCCUGCACCGCUCUAGGUGGUCAUAGAGGCCAACACGCCGAGGAGGAUCUGGGAUCUCCUCAGACUUGCACGACAGCCCAGGGGAUAACGUUGAGAGGGGUGGUCCCUCCCAAUGCCCGAACUAACUUAGGAAUGACUCCCCCAAAAUGGGAGAGACGACGCAGGAGUGCUCCGGUAGUAAUUCGAAAGAGAUCUCGGGGCAUCCCGUUGAGCGUCAGGCGGACCAUCGUGGGGUUUUAGUCAGUAAAGUCUAUCUAUCUGGACUAUCCCGCCGCUCCUGGGAAGCGACGGGGGUGUCCAUGAGGAUUUCCCCACAUAUAGAAAAAAAAAAAGAAGAAAAGGAUCGCUUAUGUCUCUGAAUUCCACAAUCCUCUUCUCUACGACUUGCACAAGGUAAGCUGCUAUCCAUGUAUCGUUCGAUUUGAGGAUCCCUGCGCAUCCCGCAGUUUAAGCUGACGUCCUACCUUCGUUCGUGUACAGAGGUUUGUUUGUGCAUAGAGAUAUUUUGACUAAGUUUUAAUUGUCAAUAACUAAGAAACAAAGCGAAAACGCAAGUUUUUAUUCUUGAUUUUCAUCUUAUUUUAGCUUGAAGAAUCGCCCCUUCAAUUCUUUUACGCCUAUAACCGAACUCCCUGUAUACUAUUACUAAAUCAAGUUUUCGUAGGAGCUUUAGAUUCGUGAAGUACGAUAUAUUGAUGAAGAAACGAUAAGUGAUAAAUGUAAACGUGAACAAAGCAGCGAACGUACCGACUAAACUUGUGACUGUGUCACAGAUACGCACAUUUAGACAGGACUCAAUGUGCUAUUAAAGACAGUUUUUGUGAAUAUUUCAGAAACUAGAACCAAACGGCUGUUACAUGUAUAGGAAAAAGUUGUUCAGAACCAUACUCCUAACAACAGAUUAAAAAAUCAUCAAAAUCGGUGAUGAAGACAAAUUCUAAAUAAUUACCUUUUGAAUUCUAAAUAUGAUAAUUGUAUUAAAACCAUUACGGACUAUUAACCAAUCGCCGAUGAAAUAUCAAAAACUAAGCGACGAAACCCGUCAAUUCAAAGGUUAUCAGUAUCACAGGGACCGGCGAACAGAAUAGAUGUAGAGGAAAUUGCUAUUAUACUUCGUACACCGCGUUCUCGAAAUUAUGAAUGUAGUAUGUAGUAUUCGCUCCUAAUAACAUCAUGAAAGACAAGCAACGGUAGAUGUGUCACAAUGUUCAGACUUUGAAACAGAGCACACGCCCUAGUUUCAUAUGAGCUUCACGGUGAUCAUCAUGGAGAAAAAGAAAGGAGGAAGGUUUAAUUAUAAUCAUUACCAAACGAGUGGGCAAGAGGAAAAGAGGAAGGUUUAAUUAGAGUUACCAAACGAGCUUAAAAAACUGCAGGAGCAAAUGGAAAAUGUGCAUAACAGAGGAGUAACAACUUAGAAGUGAUCAAAGACAGUUCGAGCAUAGCAGUCUGAUGUUACCUCAUGGGACGCAGCGAAGUUGAGGAGAUCUAAAAGUAAGUAUUAGAUAUAAUCGAACAUUCUUCAUAAUAUAUACUGGAAAAGAGGAAUAUCAAAGCUGCCUGCUUUAACUUCGGGAACGCCAUGCUGGACUCACUCACACACACAGAGACCUUUACCACAGAUAUUCGCAUGACAUGCGUGUAGAAUAGAACAGAAAUAUCUUUUUUGUUUCCCCAACUUGCAGGGGCACACACGCAGACGUUCGCAAAAUGUCUGAUGCGAAAACAAAAUAAUACUAUAUGAUGCAGAUAAAUCAAGAUGAUAUACACUCGCAUGACGUAUAUGCUAGCUACAAACAAUUCAUUACCUAUCUUUUGCAGAUAAAGUCGAGAAUUGCUGAGAUGAAUAAGAAGUUGAGAAAUGUCCUGAAGAAAGAAUUUCUUUUUGGUAGAAAUCUCUCAGAUAAAAGAGACGCAGGGUAGCAGGUUCGAUAAAGAGAUCAAAUAAUAACACCCUUUACAUGCCGUUAUCAUCGAUAUACGAUCAGAGUUACAACAAAAUGAGAAAGUAGAAUAAUCCGAGAUAAAUGUAAGUAAAAUGGCGGGUAGAUUAAGCUCAUUUGUAGAUAAUUAGCAAAAGAUAACACCGAACAAUUUCUUCUCAAGUUGCAUUGUGGGAUACAGAAUACAGUUCGAUAGAGAGGUUAACUAGGAAAAGCCACCCCAAAAUAUGAUAGAUAGGUUAGAGCACGAGAGGACUCAAUAAGUGACAUAUUACUAGAAAAAGCAGUAAUAGAAUCUUAUAGGGCAAGCAAACACAAACCAUUUCCUAGUCAAGAAACCCCGAUGGAUCGUCACGUUUUAUUCCGAACCUAAAAAAAUUGAACAACUUCAUCUAGACCUAGCAUUUUAAAAUAGACGACAUAAGAACGGUGAAGAAGAAGCUAAUUUCACUAGGCUGUCACAUCAGAACAGUAGGUCUUGAGGAUACGUGCUACACAAUAUCCAUACAUAAAAGGAGCCGAAAAUGCCUUCGGUACAUGUAAUUAGGACGAUUCUUCCAAUGUUAUUUUUACCAAAAUAUUGAAACUUACCUACAGUCACGAGAACUAAUCUUGGUAGCUCUCGUAAAUGAUAUCUUGUGCAUUGGGGCCGUUUACAUGACAUGUAAUAAAAACAUCACAGAAACGGCAAAAUUAUUCCGGUUUUCAGGUCUUAGGACUAAGGAAAAAGUAGCAUUGUCCCGGAUACGAAGUACAAAUUUUUCCGGCUGAUGAUCGACUCGAGAGAAUGUUUUAUCGAAUUGGAACAGGGAAAGAAGACUUGAGACGAAUCUAACAUUAUUCGCGGCAGAAAGGGCGUGCCUAGCAGUUGUAUACGGCUUAAUGAACAUUAAAUCGUUGGAAAAGGAAAAGAUAUUGGUAUUAAUAACUUCAAUUAUAGGAAAAGCAAUUCUCCCAAAAACAAUUCAAACCUAUCGGACCUUUGAUCCACCUAAUCCUAUAUUAACAUUAACUUGGUGGAUUAAUCAAUUGCCGGGGGUAAGAAAAGGUAUUAAAACAAAUAAGUUCAGAAUGGAAAUAUGCAAGCACGUCAAAUACGUUGUGAGAAGCAACUAACAGCUCCAUCAACGCCUUCGGAUUCUGGGCAGAAAAUGAAAAGAAACUGCACAUAAAUUACAAGCAAAUUUUAGCGAUGAAGAUAGUGUACGCUGAAGGGUGUACGCUUUCCGUUUAAAUAGAAUUAGAGAGGGACAUCUGUCAAUAGGCAAAGGACAAGUACAUCGUCUUUUUUUAAUAAGCAGACGGACUGCUGAGAAUUAUGAAUGAGUAUACCGAGUGAGAACACAACGAGCCUUUGAUAUUAUCACUAGAAGAUUAGAUGAACCACGGAUGACUUAUUUGCGUAUAGAAUGAAUGCUAAACGCGAACUUUUUCUUUCUUAGAAACCAAAAGCAUUACAAAUCGUCGUAUUUACAGUAAGCUGGUUGAAUCUGAAAUUUUAUGUAUCCUGCCCUUCAGGCAGAUUCUCAGAAUGCUUCUAAAAAUAAAGCAAAAUAGAACAACGGACAUUAUCGCCGUCCCGGAUUGGCCAAACCAACCGUAGUAUUUAUUUUUAGAAUUAGCGGUAGGAGACUCAAUAAUUCACGAGCCUGACAUUUAUUUACUUUUAACUCUAUGCAGGAGGAUGGUGUAUCCACAGCCGAGACAACUGUGUUUGAUUGCAAUUACAGUAUCAAAGAGGCUUUUCUAAGGAAGAAUACACUCAGAAAAAAUCGGCAUUUUACUAACAUUUUGCUUAUCUAGAGGAAACUACCAUGAGACAGUACAGAACACCUACAACAAGAUAGGACCAGGCGAAACUUUAACUUCAACCCAAUACAUCGAAGGAAAACCCACAAUAAUAUGCUUCAUCAACACUGGAAGGAGGCCAUAACAUGGAUAAUUCUAACCCUCGAAUACAUCCAAAGCGAUCUAGUAAUAAGAUCACUAAAUUAUGCCAACGUUUUCUUAGAACAUAUCGAAGAAAUUAUCAACACUAUCAUAUCAGGAAAACAAUGAAUGGAAAAUAACACAAAUUUAUCCGAUACCUUUCAAGCAAAACUUUGUAUUUAUCGCAUCUGUAGUAGAAACUAACUUAAUACUAAUCAACUCAGAACAAUACACCUUUGUCGAUAGCCACUACUUAAACAAAUAUUGUAAACGAACGGCAAUCAUCCACAUUUGUAAAAGGACUCAACCAAGCCACAAUAGAAUCAAUUCACCUGAACGUAGAAUAGAAUUAAUUAAUAACCAAACAGUCAAAACUUGCCCGACUGCUGUCUCCAAGCUGAAAGAAUUGACGUUCGUAUCUUUACAAACGGAAAGCCAUUAUAUUAUUAUUCCUACGAAAAAUGUACAAAUGUAAACUUUUCAAAUGUCUACAUCGAUUACUUCCUAACAAUGUAUGUAUCAAAGCCCUACCGCUCACGUAAACAAUAUGCAUCAAGCACCGACAGCGUCAAUUCAUCCAUCAGCCCAUGGGACGGUCACUUUCCAAGAUAUUACCGAAAAUGAAGAUAACGGGAUCAUUCAAAUCAGGCGACCCACCAGAGCCAUACGCUUCAACGGAGCGAAGCAAAUCUAAGAAGAGGGGAAUAUCACACGCUCAGGAAGGCCAUCCGAUCAGAAACAGUAAUAAGAUAGGCUGGACAUCCUGCAUGCCACAUCCAUCGAAACAAUAACCAAAUAGUAACGGAAUGGCCGCCUCCGAGAUACAUUAGACGACAACCCCCCCAGAGGGACUAAAACCUCGGUAUAAAAACCCUCCAAAAUAAGCGCUCGAAAUCAGUCUGUUGUAACAUUUUAAAUCAAUCUGUUGUAACACUUUGUACUGUCACUCUGUUGGAUUUUUAUAAUAAAUUCUAUUACCAUAUACAAAAUUCAAUUUCUUCACCUUAUUUGUGAAACGUUCGAACUGCGACACGAGAUCACCGGCGAUCUAUCAUUUUCGUGAUUUCUUGUGUCUCCUACGUGACACCAGCGUUAUCGAGAGAGUAUGAUCCGCGUGAGAGAUACCGUUCGAUCCAUGGUGACGAGAGUUGCAAAUUAACUAUCUAGUUGUCCUAAUUAGAAUACGUUAUUGUGAUUAAUUCACGUUAAACAACCAUCGUUUCCUGUUUAACCAACAUCUGUUUAAUCCACUUAUUGUAAAUAAACUAAUUCUAGUAAAGAUCCUCCUACACUAUGAAAGCAGUUAAAGCAGACAAAAUACAAGGAUGAAACAGGAUUUUAGAUUUAUCAGAUAAUAUGGCUUUCAAAAAAAGAGAACAAUUCUAAAUGCCAUGCACAUAAUGAUAUAAAACGAAAUUCUUCCUUUUUCAGGGAUUUACCAUAACGGAUGUCCGCUUACAAGGGAAGUUCGACAACCCGAAAAUUAAAAAGAUCAUUCUAUCUGUUUAUCGCUGGCUGGAUUAAUGGGAAAGUACUACUGUAACGGGAAUAUCUAUUUAUAUCCAGUUUGUUUUACGAUAAUAAAGACACGAGAGAUUAUACAGAGAAGAAUAUUUACACAUGUGACAUGAAAAAAUAAAACUUUAAAAAAUUAUGUGUGGUAGGAGUAAAUUUUAAAAGAAAGUAGGAGUAAUUUCUCACAUCCAUAAUAUAGGCCAUAAAAAACAUUAAAACUUUCAAUUUAACCUCUUUUCUAUGUCUUGUGUAAUUUCUUAAAUAUUUAAGAUAAUAUGGAAAGCCAAAAUUUCUUUCGGCAGUGUUUUCGUCCCUAACACAACAGGAGAAGAAGAAGUUUUGUUAUUAGUAUCACAUAGACUACAUUUGAGCAAAGUUCCAAAUCUUUUUGGAUUUUCAAAUUACCGAACUUUCCUUGUAAUAAGUCUUUUCUUCGUCUUUCUUUUCUUCAUCCGAAAGUAUUGCUAUUAUAGCUAGAUCAGUUGAAACGGCAUUGUAUAUACUCGUAUAACAUCUGAUUUCAAACUGAUUAAUAUAUUUAUCUCAGGCAUAUCCUGGGCGGUUCCCGGCAAAAUAUAUAAAUAUUCGCGGAUAUAAUAACACCCGGACAUUAUCCGGGUACUGCUCGGACACGGAACGGACACGGUCUUAAAUGGGCCUUUAAACAUGAGAUUCACGAGAUUGAGCUCGGAAGAGUUUCCGCACUUUUAAGGCAUUUAUAAAGAAAGUCGAGUGAAUGAAAAGGCCUGACACUGACAAUACGAAAGAUGGAAGCUGUAUUCCUUCUGGGAUGCAGAGUUCCAAGCUUUGUAGUCUUCAACAUAUACGCCAAGAACAAAUAAUAAAAGAUGAAAGACUGAAAGGCAGAAGAAAAUUCCAUACUAAUAUCAAAUAAUUUUUUGUAAGACUAUAUUUUCUAUAGUUUUCAGUUAAAAGAAAUACUCUGCAUAUAUAUGCAUCGAUUCGCUAUUACGUUAGUCACCAAUCACACCUCAAUAUACAAAUAAUAUAACGCUCUAGAACCGUAAUAACACUGAGUUAAUUUAAAAACUUUUAACUCAAAAUCUAACAUUAAGAAGACACAUACAAGGUCUAAUAACGUAACUUAUUAAAAUUAUUAUUUUCUUAUAUCUCUUUCUAUGCUAUUACAUAUUUGACAACGUGUUCCAGUUGAUCACGUUGUCGCGGAUAUGUCAAAUCACUAAAAUUUUAAAUAAUUUCGUUGGGUCUUUAACAGUGUCACAUGAUGAUUCCGAAAAAUAUGAUAAUAUCAUA